AGCGCUCACGAAAUUGCUGCGCACGCAGAAGUUAACAAAGAAUGACCGUGAAGGUGACCUAGGAUGGUGUCUGGAAGCAGGAACUCCACUUUAGUUCGGACAGUCCGCGACCACUUUCCUUAUACGGAAAGACCAGGUUUCCCAGCCGAGCGAACAAAGAAAAAAGACCAAUUUGUGAACACUACACUAUAUGUUUACAGAAUGAUUACAAGGAUUUUGUGCUAAUUUACUAGAGGAAUGUAAAUUUUGAUGUGAAACAGCAGUGCGACUGAUAAUGCUAUGCAAAACAAAUAAACGCUCAGAGAUGCCAGAUGUUUUUGAAAAAUGUCUGUAACUGCUCGAAAAACCGGGAAAAUGUGCUCGAAAUCUGAAAAAAAUGUAUCCGUGAUCCGAAAAAUUUUCGCUCGCGCAAGCAAAAGUCUGUACAAAUCUGCACACAUUUAAGAAAAUCUGCGCAAACAUUUAUGUUAUCUCAGGAAACAAAUUUAAAAAAAUAGACUUUCUGAAGCAUAGGAAUUCUCAAGCUGGAACCAACAGAAGUUAUGGGGAAACUAGGCCUUCGAAGUUCGUUUAGCGGUAGGGCUCAGAAGCUUCGGUUUUUCGAAAAAUGUCCUCAAUGGUAAAAAUAAAUUAAAGCUGAGAGAGUUUCCCAGCUGAAAAAUAUAUAAAUAUUUUUUUUUAACCACAAAAGAUCAAAAUAAUGGUCGCAGUGGUCCAAAUCUUACAAAAAAAUAACACUAGAUUUUAACGUUUAUUGCAUCUCUAAGGAAUUUGGCAUCACCUUUUUUUUUGUUAUCGAACAUUUUUUUAUUGGUAAAAAAGUAUAAUUUUACCCGCACGACUUCCCGAAGUCCGAUUGUGCUGAAAUUUAGAAUAGUGACUUCUUUCGAGAAGACGAAACUGAGCCGUACCUCUAAAUCUCUGAACGAAAUUCAGAGGUCUUUUUCCCAUAUAUGUCACCGACACAUUUUUUUGUUGAGGUUUUAACCGGCGGUCAUUCACCAGUCAAUGAAAACUAUGUUAUAUUGCAUACUGUUUAAGCAACAUCAAAUAAUGGAUGACAACUAGUUUAUUCGUAGAACAUUCUGAUUGCAAAUCAUAUCAAUGCGGCUCUACUGCAUAGUCGAGGGCAAGGAAUCAGGGCGGCUUUGAAUCAAUGCUAUUCAAUUUCAAUUGAAGUAAAUUUAGAGUGCAUACGCUUUGACAAACAAGUUUAUGAGUCGCAUUUUUAUCGGUGCUGUCUUACACGAUAAUUUGCGAGGAUGUCUGAGAAUUCUGGUGACUCUGAGCAGAAAAGGUGUCAAAAGCCAAGCCGGAAUUGAAUGUUUGUCAGCCGAGGAACAAAUUGCAGCGCCACUGGUUAGAUGGAUUUCGGAUCAAUCAACAUCCCUUCCAGAACAACUAGCCAAAUACGUCGCAUGGAAUAUGAAUUCGCCCGUAGAUCCACAUUUAAUAACUGAUGGUACAAACUUUUACUUAUAUGUUGAGGAGGGAUAGUGAAGUGCGGAACUUCAUCACUUCAUGCUAUGAACAUCCUCUUCAAAUGUUUUUGCGUUUUUAAGUUAAAAGUUCCACCUUCUUUAAAAAGAGUUGUUGAGUUUUUUGAAAUUAUCACAUAUAAAACUAAGUCUAAUAGUACAACACAAAGUGUAAACAGACUAGUAGCUAUGUUUAGAGAAUCAAUUGUUGCAGAGAAUUGCGAUUCUGACAAUUGAUGAUAGUAGUUAAGUAAUCCUGUAUUCGUUAAUAAGCCUUUUUCAUAUAUUUGCAAAUAACUAAAAAUAAUUGAUUUCA